UUUAUUAUAUACUAUCUUUAUUUAAUAUUGAGCCUUCGCGAAUACGAACCGAAACUUUAAUUAAGAAAACGAAAAGAGACUUUAUUUUACGCCACUAAAUCACAAAAGUAUAUAUAUUCACAUAGUAUUAAAUACAUAAACUUAUUUCAAGAUUCUCAAAAACAAAUUCUACCCCUCUAAAAACUCUAACUAACAAGGCGAGGGGAAAACAAAUCCUAUCAACUCAACUUAUAAACAUAUUCCUCUGUGCUCCCGUAACUUGACAAUGAGCCUUUGCACCUGUAGCUGAAAGGGGUGGAGAUAGGGGGUAAGAACUGGGAAGUUCUUAGUAGGGUCGGGGUUAGAAGUUAAGUUCAUUUUGCCAUUAUUAACCGAUCACAACUAACAACAAAACACUUAUAAGCAUGAAUAAUAAAAUAACUCAGAAGUCAAUCAGUCAUGCAGCACACACUCACAAUCACAGAGUUACAUAGCACAGAGAUAUGCGCAAACAAGCAUGAUGCAUGUCUAUUCCUAUCGCAGGUAAUGAGCUCAUUUGUCGGUUUCGACCCGCACCCGACGCAAUCCGACUCGCAAGUCAGAUAAGGCAUUCCAGCGGCAUAACCUCUGCAAGUUUCCACUUCUUGCAGGCGCUGAUUCUCCAGCUGAAGUAUGCCGAACAUGACCUCUGCAAGUACUUGCAGGCGCUGAUUCUCCAGCUGAAGCAUGUGCCACUUUCUCCUGGAAGCCGUUCCAUACACACGGGCGUCCCCGCACAAUCAUUCAAAAACAAAGCCCACAGCUUAACACUUUCACAUCGGCACCAUAACUGUUUACUUUCCGUCACCCUCUCGUGACCUUUCAAUCAUUCUCAUAAGUACACGUGCCGAUUUAUCUUCUCUUUUUCUUUUAAAACUAAAACCACAUCUUUAUGCCAUUCUCCAAAAUCUUUAAAACAAUUAAUAAUCCAACCGACUCCAACAGCAAAAAUAUUUCUUUAAUAAUUUAAAAUCAGUUAAUAUAUUUCUUAAAGCUUUUGAAAAUUCUAUUUCUUACUCCCAAAAUAAUCAAAGCAUCCCAGCUAGUUGUUCAUACAUAACUGAAUCAAAAUCUCAAGCAAACAACAAUAAUUCAACAAUAAUUUAACAUAAACUCAUUCAAAUUCAAGCAAUAAUCAACUAAAUCAACAUUCACUUAUCAAACUCACAUUUAAUUAUUAUAAAGUUACCAAACCCUAUCUCCAUACGAAAUCAAACUAACGGGACCUUCGGAGAAGUUUUCUGAUCGAACUACUGAAGAAGAAAACGUUAAGAAUCGUCUGUGCCUCCUAAAACUCCAAUUGACCAAACUCAAGGGGUAGGAGAGCUACGUCACCGUCGACUUCCACCAGACAAAAGUAACGCCAUCAUGUAAAAGAAGAUGAUACAAACACUUUUAUCAGAUUAGAUUUUUUAUUAGAGUUACGAAUCACUCUUUCUUUCUCUCUGGGUCAGUUUUCUUUCUCUUCUUUCCCGUAACAAGUAUGAAUGAAUGAAAAAGAUGAGUGUUAUGAUUAAUGGGAGUUUGUGGUAUAAAUUUUAUUAGGUGGCAUGCUC
rnacentral:lncRNA from 1 species